rnacentral:rRNA from 1 species
UACGUAGGGACCGAGCGUUGUCCGGAUUCAUUGGGCGUAAAGAGCUCGUAGGCGGCUGCUCAAGUCGAAUGUGAAAACUCGAGGCUCAACCUCGAGCCUGCAUUCGAUACUGGGCGGCUAGAGUCUGGUAGGGGGAUCUGGAAUUCCUGGUGUAGCGGUGGAAUGCGCAGAUAUCAGGAGGAACACCGGUGGCGAAGGCGGGAUCCUGGGCCGGUAUUGACGCUGAUGCGCGAAAGCCAGGGGAGCAAACGGG